rnacentral:rRNA from 1 species
GAUGAACGCUGGCGGCGUGCUUAACACAUGCAAGUCGAACGGUGAAGCAGAGCUUGCUCUGUGGAUCAGUGGCGAACGGGUGAGUAACACGUGAGCAACCUGCCCCUGACUCUGGGAUAAGCGCUGGAAACGGCGUCUAAUACUGGAUAUGAGCUGCGACCGCAUGGUCAGCAGUUGGAAAGAUUUUUCGGUCUGGGAUGGGCUCACGGCCUAUCAGCUUGUUGGUGUGGUAAUGGCUCACCAAGGCGUCGACGGGUAGCCGGCCUGAGAGGGUGACCGGCCACACUGGGACUGAGACACGGCCCAGACUCCUACGGGAGGCAGCAGUGGGGAAUAUUGCACAAUGGGCGAAAGCCUGAUGCAGCAACGCCGCGUGAGGGAUGACGGCCUUCGGGUUGUAAACCUCUUUUAGCAGGGAAGAAGCGAAAGUGACGGUACCUGCAGAAAAAGCGCCGGCUAACUACGUG